rnacentral:lncRNA from 1 species
UCCCUCUCCCAUCAUUUCCUGUGCCCUCUUCCCUAAUCCAGCAUCUCCUGCCUGGACAACCGCAUAGGCUUUUCCUCGUCUCCACCUUUGUUCCCUCUGACCCAUCCUGCACAUAGAAACCAGACGGAUCAUCCUAAAAUUCAAACCUGAUGGUAUUCCCUCUCCUGUUAAAAGCCCUUUAAGACUCUUCAUUGCCUGCAGGAUAAAAGCCAGAUUCCUUUCCUUUGCACCCAGGCCUGCGGGCUUAGUUGCUACUUAUCCUUCUGCCUUCUUCCCUCAUCUGUCUGCUUUCACUCCAUGUUUAGUCACGCCAAACUUUGUCCAGGGGCUCUGACUUGCUAAGCUAGCUCUCCUCCCUCACUUGGGACAUCUUCCUUGCUCUUCCUUCUAAUGGAUGCUCUGUUCUCAUCCUUUUCCCAGUUGGCUGAACUGAGGGGUUCUGGCAGAUGAGCCAUUCCAGCUCCUCCUUCUGUAGAUGAGCCCCCGAAGCCCAGAGAGGAAGAGUGAUUUGCUGAAGGUCACCCAUCAUGUCCAGCGCACUUCAUACUAAGCAGAACAACCUCCCUUCUCUCCCUCCUUUGGCCACGAUGGGAGGGAGACUUGGCAUUGCCUCAGACCCUCCCCCAAAGAUUCUGCUUCUUUUUGCUGCUGGAAUCAGAAGGAUGAGCCAGUGGCUGAGAUCGAGAGCAUUUCAAUGAGAAGGUGCUUUAACGACUCUUCAAGGAUUUGGGGCCUAAUGAAGCACACAUCAGAGGACGAUUUAAUCUUUCCCUCAUAAAACCCUCACAACAAGGAGAUCAACUUCAGAAUCCAAAUUCAUCCUGACAUCAAAAUGUGAGCUCAAGACAGUCCCGGAUCACUGAUAAUUGUCUGGGGCUAAUUGCUGUGGUCUUGGGGGGUGUUUAAGAGCAACCAAGGGGGGUGGGUGGGUGUGGCAGAGGGUGUCCAGGGACAUGCUGGGCUGUCCCCUGUAAGGCCCCUGGAAGGAGCUGACAGUGGUGACAUUGGAGGAUAAGACAGAAUAAGGUGAACGUGGGGCAGUAGCAGGUUCUGCUUGGCUGUGGCCGGCCUAUCGCCGGCGAGGUGAGCCCUUCUCCCCACAUCCCUCUGCAAAGGGAUUAGUGGUCAGCAGAUAGCCCACAGCCACUUGCCUAGAGGGAGCCCUAAAGGUGCCAAGAAACUCCUGUUUCUAAGCCAUAAAUGUGACAACAGAGCUUAUGAGAUCUACUAUGGAGAAAGCCAACCGGAGGCUGCAGAGAUGAUCUAGGCGUCUGUGGGGGUGGAUCGCCGUCCUAGAAAUGUCCCUCCAGCUCUCUAGGGAUAGAAGUGGGGGCCUCUGAUCAUGGGCCCCUCAUGGGCUCCUCAUGGGCUGCUCUUCCUUCUAUCCACAGCUCUCUGUUAGCUGGGGUCUCACCCACCACGGAAGUGACAUCCCCUUCUUCUCUCAAAUGCUGAAUCUUGCCCAUGUCUCCUGUUGCAAAGAUAUUCUUUCUUUUACACAAAAUUAAUUGAUGCCAGUGUGAGGGGUGGGGGAUCAUGAACAUAUAGGUCCCAGCCACUAAUUUCAAAAGGAAACAUAUUUUGUAAUAAUUAGAUGGCAAAAAGCUGGAAAUGAUGAGAAGCAAACUCAGUCGAGCCCUGGCUGGUGCAUAAUAUAAUCAUUUAUACUAAAUUUAUGUCCAUAAUGUGCUGUGCAGCCAGGGAAGAUAUGAGAUAAAGUAAUGGGACCCUCCUCCCACUUUUUUUCUUUCCAUUAAGAGAAGACAACAUUCUUAAAGGAAAAAAAAAAAAAAGAGAGAAGAAAAAAUAUCCCUAUAGAAAAAAAUUUAAAACUUAAAAAAUAAUCUGUACAGUGAAACACAGAGUCAAAGUUAAAAG